GACGAACGCUGGCGGCGCGCCUAACACAUGCAAGUCGAACGGAGUCAAGAGGAGCUUGCUUUUCUUGAGUUAGUGGCGAACGGGUGAGUAACGCGUGAGUAACCUGCCCUGGAGUGGGGGACAACCGUUGGAAACGACUGCUAAUACCGCAUAAGCUCACGGAUCUGCAUGGAUCUGCGGGAAAAGGAUUUAUUCGCUCUAGGAUGGACUCGCGUCCACUUAGCUAGUUGGUGAGGUAACGGCCCACCAAGGCGACGAUUGGUAGCCGGACUGAGAGGCUGAACGACCACAAUGGGACUGAGACACGGCCCAGACUCCUACGGGAGGCAGCAGUGGGUGAUAUUGCACAAUGGGGGAAAACCUGAUGCAGCGACGCCGCGUAGAGGAAGAAGGUGUUCGGAUUGUAAACUCCUGUCGUAAGGGACGAUAAUGACGGUACCUAACAAGAAAGCACCGGCUAACUACGUG
rnacentral:rRNA from 1 species